rnacentral:lncRNA from 1 species
UCGACACACACAAGCUCCAUCGCUGAGCACUAAUUAAUCUCGUCACCGCAAAUUUAGAUUUCAGUCUUCGUGCUUUUUGAUAGGAACAUAUUCUAAUACCAUGUCAGUUUCCAGCAACAGAGAACCUAAAGUGUAUAACAAUCUUUAUUGAAGAUUCAGGCAAACAAACAUUGAGACGAAAAAUAUGAAUAAUAUUGUUUUCACACCUCUCUUUGAGGUGGAAAUCCAAUUUCUCAUUUCUAUCCUUCCUUAUUUCGUCUACAUUGAAUGAGUGUUUACCCAACAUACAUUUUGCAUCAUUAACGUGAAAUUCAAUCGAACAUGAAAUGCUUGAAAUAUAAUUAACGUACAUUAAUCUAAUUCUUUGUCACUAAAUUUUGCCUUUAUAAAAAAUGGGGUGGAGUGUAGAUUUAAAAAAAGAAUGGGGUGGAGUGUCAUUCUUGCAAACCUUGAGGGGGGUGAGUGUAUUUUACUCUUUUGUUAAUCAUUUUAUCAAAGUAUGUCCUGAUAUAUCUUUAAAAAGUAAAUCAGAUGUAUAUUGUGUUUUUAUUCAAUUUAAGCGAAUUGUGAAAAAGUAAUUCAAUUUACGGUGUAAAAUACAAUUAAGAUUAAGAGCACUCUUGAGUUCACAUGAGAUUUCAGCACAAGGUAGAUGUCGACAAGAUAGAUCGAGCUCUAUUAUUUUAUCUCAAAGACUCUCAUAUCAUAUAAUUAAUUUUACAUGAAAAAUUACAGAUGGUGCUUAGAGAUGAUAAUGUAUGAGGUUCGGAUAGAAAAAGAAGGAUUUCUGACGAGGUCAGGUUAUGAUUUAAAACAGUUACAAUGAUUAGGAUUUUUUUUCGUUUACGAGUGAAACCAGAUUUGGUUCUUCCUCGGACUUUCUCUUUCCGAUCCCGGCAUUGGUGGGUUCAUUGUUGAAACUCAGAUCCAAUUAAUCUAAUGGUUUUGAUUAAGAAAUAUGUUUUUAAAAUUUUUUUUUAACCAGAAAACAUUAGUUUUUAGACAAAAUUUAACGGAAAACCAAUUUUACAACCAGGUGUAAACUUCAGGGACGUUUUUUUGUUAAUUUUGAAGUUUGGGGACGAUUUUCGCAAAAAUGCCAAAGUUGGGGGACAAAAAGUGGAAUUAACCCUAUAAAAUACUAACGACGGUCAUAACCGACGUUAAACAUUAUCUCAUAUUUGAGUGGAGCUCUAAUUUUCAUUACGUCUUCUCCUCCAUUCAUUUCUAAUUUUCAUUCCUUAGGUUCUCUCUUUUGCCUCCUCACUGCUUCCUCCUCCACCGCUCCCUCCGUUGUCGACACACACAAGCUCCAUCGCUGAGCACUAAUUAAUCUCGUCACCGCAAAUUUAGAUUUCAGUCUUCGUGCUUUUUGAUAGGAACAUAUUCUAAUACCAUGUCAGUUUCCAGCAACAGAGAACCUAAAGUGUAGUAAUAGUGUUGUCGCGCCUCUCUUUGAGGUGGAAAGAUCAUAAAACAUACACUUCACAUACAACUCAUUCACUACUUCAUCAUCCUCUUCUCUUCCUUUCUCACUUA